GGGGGGGGCAAGCGUUGUUCGGAAUUACUGGGCGUAAAGGGCUCGUAGGCGGCCAACUAAGUCAGACGUGAAAUCCCUCGGCUUAACCGGGGAACUGCGUCUGAUACUGGAUGGCUUGAAUCCGGGAGAGGGAUGUGGAAUUCCAGGUGUAGCGGUGAAAUGCGUAGAUAUCUGGAGGAACACCGGUGGCGAAGGCGGCAUCCUGGACCGGCAUUGACGCUGAGGAGCGAAAGCCAGGGGAGCAAACGGGAUUAGAUACCCCGGUAGUCCUGGCCCUAAACGAUGAAUGCUUGGUGUGGCGGGUAUCGAUCCCUGCCGUGCCGAAGCUAACGCAUUAAGCAUUCCGCCUGGGGAGUACGGUCGCAAGGCUGAA
rnacentral:rRNA from 1 species